GGUCUUUUUACAAGAUGUGAUCAAAAAUGUGGUAAAUGCUGCUGCCAAGUACCACCCAACAGAGUAGCAGGCUCGUAAGAACGUGGCACUGUGUCCCCAUCCACCCUGUUUAAUAGAUUGGCACUGUGCAACUGCUGGCUCUUCCCCAAAAUCAAAACAAUCAGGAAAAGGUAAACGUUUGCAAUGGAUUCGGGACAUCAGUCCAGCCAUGAGAGUGCCACUAAAGAUACUCCCAAAAGAGGACGCAUAGAGCUGCUUCAGAAAGUAGCAAAAAUGAUGGGAUAGUGUGUGGGAAGUGAGGGGAGGAUUUUGAGUAAGAUUAAUGUGUUCUUUACCGUAACAAGUUUCUUUAAUUUAAAAAAAUCACCAUUUUUUAUCAUACCCCAUGAUGCUUCCUCUAACCCAGUCAGGUGGGUACGAUUCCUACGUAUUCCCGUCUUACAAAGGAAAAAAGACACAGUUUGUUCUAAAUGCUCAUUUCCUCAGCACCUUCUGUGGGUCCAGGCUGAGCAAGGUCCGAGCACAGCAAUAAACAAGACAGACAUGGUUUCUGCCCUCCAAGCUCCCAGGCUAGUGGGAGAGAUAAGAUUCCCAGAGAAUCACAGAAAUCAUCAUUAAGUCACAGAACGCUGUGCUAGCAGAACCCAGGGAACUUGAUCAAGCAGGUCAAAGGAAGGCCUCCAACCCUUGUUUGGAGAUGACGGUAGAAGCGGGGAUUUCUGUGCAAAUGCCCUGGGGUAAGAAGGAGGCAGAGGUGUUUGAGGAAGUGAAAAGCUUGGUGCAAAAAGAAGCAGGUUAAGUCUGGGAAACAAACAAGGGUCCUGUACACAUGGAACCCUGGGCAGGAGAAGAGCCAGAGACGCCCUGAGGUCAGAUUUCUGUAAUGACUGCCACUCGGUUUUUCAGCUGGUGGAUCAGACAAGAAAGUGUGAACUAAGAAGGGAACGAUGUGGAAAUACUUCUGCUUAAUGGAAUCCUGGGAGAAAGUCGCACCAGAUGGCACCAUCUUCUUCCCAACCUUAAAACAAGACUCUACAGCUUCUCCAAGUGUCUGAGCUUCUGCAGAGAGAAGGUUGAGCGCUCCUCCUUUAUUCUCAAGAGAUACAAAGAAGAAAGCUCAAGCCCAGAAGCCUAACUAUGGUUGCUCAGAAGUAUGUGAACCCGUGGGAAGUCUGGCAAGUUUACAGCUACUUUGGGGAGCCUCGAAACUUCCCUAACUUCAGUCCGUGUCCCCAGACCCGGGGUGGCCUUCAGACAUUUCGGAUGAAGCCCCUCUUCUCCUUCCCAGAGCCUCUGCACCCACAGCCACAGAGCGCCAGCCCCCCGCCCAGGGCGAUGCAGCCCAGACUUCCGCCCCUUAGUCUCUGCUUUCUCCAGUCCCCUUGCUCUAGCCGGUCCACUUGUGCUCUAAGCUGGUGUGAACGUCCUAGAGCAGGACCACAGAGCUUCAGGGCUUCUGAGGAUUCACUCAUGCAAUGGACCAGGGCACCAAGAGCACUGAGUAUUACCAAAGUGCUUCAAACUGCAGGACUAGGGCAGCCGAAACCCACAGGGUGGCGACCUCCCUGCCGCCAGCAAUGGACAGGGUCAGUGGGGCGCAGGGCAGAGGCGUCCAGCAGCGAGAUCUCAUCGAUUCAAAUCUAACUUGAGCAGGAAGAAGAAUAAAAAUACAAGCUGGGGCUUUCUUGUGUUUGUGCUUGGUUUGUUUUUUUUUUUUUUAAUUGUCCAGCUGGAAACAUCAACUCCAGCAUCAAUAAACAGCCGGGAAGGUGCCCAAAGCCUGAGCCCCUGGCAGUUUCUUCAAGACACUCCUGCCCUGCUGUUUCCCCAGGGACCAGGCAGACUCAGUGUGGCCUGCACUGUGUCCCGUUCCCAGAGCAGCCACCUCUGCUGAGCCCCUGGGAGCCAGGCGGGGAGCAGAGCAUGCAUCCAAGGGAACAGUCGCCUGAAGAAGCUAUUGGGCCACAGGCAUUUAAACUGCUCUCUGUCGGUUGAAGGGAAGUCACUUUUUAAAAAAGAAGGCACAAGCCAGGGAUGGUAGCCAAAGCCUGUAAUCCCAGCUACUUGGGAGGCUGCAGCUAGAGGACCACAAGUUCAAGGCCAGCCUUGGCCAUUUAGCAAAAUCUCCUUCUCAAAAGAAAAGAAAAGUGGCAGAGAGCGCCCCCUGGGCCCUCUCCUAUCACGGCUCUGAGUAGACUCAAAUCUUUCUUGUCCUGCCUUGCCCCUCCCCACCAGGACGGCCAGGGGACACCCCACAAAGACAGGAGCAGAGGAUGCAGUGACAGCCACAGGUCGGGGUGGCAAGAACGGCUGCCAACCCCAGCCCCUGGGAGCUGCAGAGCAUCACGGAUGCCCCCACCCACUCCCCAUCCAGCCAUCAGAGCAAGCCUGGCCCUGGCCCUGGCCCUAGCUAGGUGGUUUGGUUUGGGACUUCUGGUCUCCAGAACCAUGGGAGAAUGCACGACUGCUUAUUUAAGCACCUGGCUUGUGGUCCUUUGUUACAGAAACUCUAAAAACCGAAACAGGAGAGAAGACAAAAGCCAGGAGAGCUGCCCUCUCCCUUCCUCCAUCCUUUGCAAUGGGCUGCUUGUCAUGUCCAGGAGGAGAAGCACCACUGAGAUCAACUGGACUGGCCUGACUCCCCAUUUUCCCCAGGCUGGCUGUGGGUGGGGAGCAGUGGCUCUCGUGCCCUGCUGCUCACUUCCCUCUGUCCUCCUCUCCUCUUUUUAAACAUAAACACCCGCCUUGGUGCUCCUCUGAACCUGUCCCUGAGUUAUUUCUCAGGUAACACCAGCUCCAAAGGUCCUGCAAAUCUGCCCAGGAGUCUUAUCCUGAGUCCUGGGCAGAGGGGUUGUUUCAAAAGAACAGCAAUAAACACUGAGAGUCGUUAGCACUGGAGAGCUCCAGAGGCCCGCAGCAGAGACCCGCAGUCUGCAGAGCCAGCCCGUGGUGUCCAACAGCAGCAGUGGCCCGCAGCUGGCUGUGGCCCCUCCUGGCAUCUAGCAGUAACUGGUGACACCAGGGCUGCUGACAAAGUGCUAACAGAGCCGCUCUGUGCCGGUGCAUGAUUUCCAUCUGACUCGGGGAAAGAACUCUGGGGGCCUGGCAAUGCUACCUGGAGAGACCGAGGCCGGGGCCUGAUGGUCGCGCCACCCGCCCCAACACACACACAAACACACACAUGCAUACACACGCACACGCACACGCACGCGCACACGCAUGCAGGUGCCCUCGAAAGGGG